CUCGAUGUCGACUCAUCGCAUCCUGGGGCUGGAGCAGGUCCCAAGGGUAUGGCUGUUCGCCAUUUAAAGCGGUACGUGAGUUGGGUUCAGAACGUCGUGAGACAGUUCGGUCCCUAUCUGCCGUGGGUGUAGGAAUAUUGAAAGGAUCUGUCCCUAGUACGAGAGGACCGGGAUGGACGGAUCUCUGGUGGACCUGUUGUGGCGCCAGCCGCAUUGCAGGGUAGCUAUAUCCGGACGGGAUAACCGCUGAAGGCAUCUAAGCGGGAAACCCACCUUGAAACGAGUAUUCCCUGAGAGCCGUGGAAGACGACCACGUUGAUAGGCCGGGUAUGGAAGUGCGGCAACGCAUGAAGUUUACCGGUACUAAUAGCUCGAUCGGCUUGAUCGU
rnacentral:rRNA from 1 species